AGAAUCCCAAAAGUAAAGAAUGAGGAAAGUGAAAGAGGAUGAAUAGCUUAUGUAAUGUAAUAAAGAUAGUCAAAGUUUAUGCUCUCUCAUCCUUGAGGCUUUUUGAAUCCAAAGAAAAACAAUGAUUUCUUGUAGCCUAGCCCCAUUACAAGCUUAAGAAAGACCUUAGUGAUCCAUGAUUGAUAGCAUGUUUUGUGAUUAAGAUGAGGUGUAUGUUUGAAUUGAUUUGUUGUGAACACAUUGCUUGGAUUGAGAGAAACACUUCACCCUUGAGUUGAAACACUUGUGAGAAUUGUGACUCUAGUUGAUUAUCUUGUUGAUUUGGAAAGUUUGAAAUCUUACUUGAAUUUUGAAACUAUUUCACAUUCAUACCUUGAUUCUUUGAUGAUUAUGAAGGUUUGAUUUUGAACUUGCAAUACAUUGAAUCAUGCAAACUUGAAAUGAUUUAAAACCAAAGUUUUUGAUUGAUUGCAAAGCUUGAAUGAAUCAUGCACCAAUGAUGUUUGAAACAUGUUUUGAGAGUUUAUUUUGGACUUUUGUUUGAGGACAAACAAAGUUCUAAGUUGGGGAGAGUUGAUAAGUGCUCAAAAACAGUGAUUUUACCUAUUUAUUUUAAGCACUUAUUGACUUGUUUUAUAAGUCAUUUUAGGUAAAAAACCCCAAUUAAUUUUAAAUAUUAAUCUCUACUAGCAAAUUAGUAUUUUAGCUAUUUUCCCUC
rnacentral:lncRNA from 1 species